UUUUUUUUUUUUUUUUUAAAUGACAGGUGCCUAUUAUUUUGGCCAUUAUCCCUAAGCCUCUCAGAAAACACACUAAGGACUUUGACCAGCCAUUUGAUUGUUUUUUUGUUUUUGUUUUCCCCCUUUGGAGUAUUUUCUCAGUUGUGGUUCAUAAAAACUUGCAGUACAAAAGGUUCUUUAAAAUGUAAUUAAUUAGUUUUAUGUGUAUGCUGCUUUGUUGCAUGGAAGUCUAUAUAUUGCUUUUAUGUGUUUGCUGCUGGAAGUGGGGAUUGGAUUUCCUGGGACUAUAGUUACAGAUGGUUUUAUGAGUAGCCAUCUUGGGGCUGGGUCCUCAUCAAGAGCAGCAAAUGCUUUUAAUGUUGGGAACCACUUCUUCAGCCCCGUUUUUGUUUUGCUUUUGUUUUUCCAAGACAGGGUUUCUCUCUGUAGCCCCGGCUGUACUAGAACUCCAUAGACCAGGCUGGUCUUGAACUCAGAGAUCUGCCUGCCUCUGUUUCCAGAGUGCUGGGAUUAAAGGCAUGUACCACUUUUAAUUUAGAUAAUUUAAUUAAUAAGUUAAUUUAAAUAAUGAAACAGCAAUAAUGGAGUAAUCCAGCCGCUUGUGGCAGCACACGCCUUUAAUCCUACCACUCCUGGAGGGGCAAGUUUGCAGAUCUCUGUGAGUUCUAGGUUAGCCUGGGCAACAUAAUAAGAUCCUGUCUCAAAAUAAACACAAACAGAAAACCACCACCACCACCAAAACCUACCCAAUAAUUCUCUUCGACAGGAAUUAAAUUCUAUCUUUUUUAUUAGCUUCUUGGAUGGGACAUAUUCUGUUUUUCAGUUGUUAUACAUUAAUAUCGAGUGAGGAGUGGAAGCCAAAGCCAGUCAGCAUUCCCACUUAUUUGAAGGUUGGGUAGCUUAGGAUGAAACAAAAAUAAAUGUGAAGUAAAACCGCAUUAAGAUUUGUGAACUUUUCAUGGUAAGUCAGUAGUAGACUGUACAAAUUGAAAGCAUGAAGGCUAUUGCUCUCUGAGCCUUGGGUGUCACUGUGUAAAGCACAUGUGACUUGGUUCAGGAGAGCUCUCGAGUAUAUACCUUCCCAGCCCCACCAUACCUUCAUGAGCAGCACAUGCAGAGACAUCCUGGGAGAGCAGAAGUGUUGAGCACAUGGCCUCUGUCUUGAGCCUGUGGACAACCCCACUCCCCCACCCCCAUCCCCCAUUUCUGCAAUUCUUCUGACUGUUUGCCCAUGGUGUGUCUGUGGGGCUCUUUUAACAUCUGGCUGGAUUCCCUUCCUUUUUCUGCUUUCUCCGAGUAGGUGAUACAUCGAAAGUUGCAUGGCCAAAUGCUGUUCAUUCUUUUGUGAUAAAGUGGUGGGGCGGGGAGGAGGUACUCCCGCCCUUCCAGGGAAUAGCACUUUGUUUUCAAGUGCGGCCUGAAGAAUGCAGAUCACCAAAUAGCUUGCCACGCGUAAAGGUUUUAACUUCUCAGGGUCUUUACAGAAUGUGUUGUGUGGCGGGAUUCUUGGUUUUCGUUAAUGAAUUAGCUUUAUGGUGCUGCGGAUGGAACCUACUUAUAUACUUCUGGUGCAUACAUGGAGCUAUAAAGGGGGCUCUGACAAGGAUGCUGUAGGAACCGCAAAGUUUGAGGUAGAAAAACAACCCCUUGCUUUGACUUAAGGAGGACAGUUGAGGUGCACGCUGAUGUGAAGGAAAAGGAAAAGGAGACACUCUGAAUUAUAGCCGUUCUCUAGUUGUGUGCCUGUGGCGCCAUUUGUGAAGUGUCCGAAGCCUCUGGCUGGUGACUUGUAUUUAGUCAUUUCAUAGCAGGACAUGCUAUUUGAUGAGUGCCGCCUGGCAGAUGGUUACAGUUGGGUCUUUAACAGGAUACAGGCUGCCAUCCAGCCACAGUAGAGUAUACUUUGUAAUGUGCUUAUUUGAACUUAGACUAAUGUUUUAGCCUGACUAGACUUUGAUGGGUGUGGCUUUUAUGUUUCUCCUCCUCCUCCUGUUCUGUGUGAGGAGUAAAUAUAGUAAUGGGGAAAAUGUAAUCUUGACACAUCUCUGAAUGAACACCUCCCGUCCCCUUUGUUGCUUCAGGAAGCUGUGGGUGGAACCCAGGGCCUGGAAUAUCCUAAGUACCUGCUGUGCCAGGUACUUAUUAGAGUUAAAAUUAUUUUAUUAUAUGCCUGCACUUAUAUUGCACAACAAUGGGUACCUGUUGUCCCUUGGAGGCCAGAAGAGGCUUGGCAGAUCCUCUGGGUCUGGGCUGACAGGUGAUUGUGAGCAGAGAAUGAAGUUCUGGGAAUCAAACCCUGGUCCUUGGCAAGAACAGCUAGUGCUUUUAACUGCUGAGACACCUGUCCAGACCAGGUUUGUAGCUUUUUUUGGUGGUAAGUUUUUAGACUGUACACCAGUCUCAAAGUCCAGUUACAUUUUUGCCAUCCUAACAAAGGAAAACGUGGAUCGUGAUAGAGAAACUUUAGUUCCUUGAGUUGAAGGUAAGGCGAGCCAGGUGUUGUGUGACUUAAUUUUUUAUUUUACGGGGUGGACAAAACACUCAAUCCCAGAUUGGGAACCCAUGAUACACCCAAUUUUUAGUGGUAAGGAUACCACCAAAGUCCAGCUUGGCGACCCAGUGAGUUUUAUUGGGGUUCCCUACAGGAAUCUGAAUUCAGGAAUAGAAAUGAUCCCAUAUGGAUGAGCACAGAUCACCCCAGAAUAACUCUUAUCGCCAAAGUUCACCCCGGCAUGGGUGACAGCUCACAAAGGCUGGGAACCUGGACCACACUGGACAGCCUGCAGGCAGCUCAGCAGAUUGGAGGGUCCUUUGCAGCUUCAGGUGGCAGAAAUGUCUUCCAAGCAGGUCUUUUUGCUUGAGAGUCGUCUUCCCCGCAGGGGUGUGUGUGUGUGUGUGUGUGUUUACCUCCCUGCCUAAGGAGCUCCCCUGCAGGACCAAAAGUUUUUAAGGUCUAAUGCUUUCUAGUAGUAUUUGUUCCUUCUAGGGCUUGGAGCUUCUAGGGCCUUUGUUCUCAGGAGGAAGGAAAAAGAAAUUUGUCAGCCGGCCUCAUUGCUUUAAUGUCCGACUAUAGCAAUUUGUUUACAUGAUCUGAGAGCUGAUCCUACCCACUUGGCUCAAGUUCAGUUUCUUCUUUUUGCCUUACAAGGAUAGCAGGCGCACCUGAGAACCUGGGUGGGUGGGGUUUCACCCAGGAGAGUCAUCCCUGUAGCUCGGAGACAACACCUUCACGUCACCGGCCACUCUCAGUCUCCGGAGGAUUCAGCGGAGUAGAAUCGAUGAGAUUAGUGAGGGAGGUUCUUAGCAAAACUAAAGGACUUCCUGGUGAGCUCAGUUUCCGACCGAGGAGCAGGCUUCUUCCUCUUUAGCCCUCUUCAGUGAGGAGUCAGCUGCUCGGCUGUGUGGGAUUGGCUGGUGUACACCUGCCCCUGUUUCCUCCGGCCACUGCAUACCGCCAGUCACUUCCCAUUAGCUGUGAGCCCUGCCCUUGUGUGAGUCAGAGUGGUAGGCACAAGGGCUCUCGGGGCAGGGCAUCAGACGAAGUCACUGUGUACUUAUCAGAUUGACUCGAUUUGGGAAGGCAUGAGCUAGCAUGACUCAGACUAGUGGCGAACUUAAUUGAGAGAAUUCCUCAUAUUUCUGUAGCGAAUGGAUGAUAGUUGGAUGAACUAAAAAGUCUUAACC
rnacentral:lncRNA from 1 species